rnacentral:rRNA from 1 species
CCUACGGGGGGCUGCAGUCGAGAAUCUUCGGCAAUGGGCGAAAGCCUGACCGAGCGACGCCGCGUGCGGGAUGGAGGCCUUCGGGUUGUAAACCGCUGUCAGAGGGGAGGAAGUGCAAGAGGGUUCUCCCUCUUGCUUGACCUAUCCUCAGAGGAAGGACGGGCUAAGUUCGUGCCAGCAGCCGCGGUAAGACGAACCGUCCAAACGUUAUUCGGAAUCACUGGGCUUAAAGCGUGCGUAGGCGGCAGGGCAAGUUGGGUGUGAAAUCCCUCGGCUCAACCGAGGAAUGGCGCUCAAAACUGCUUUGCUUGAGGGAGAUAGAGGUGAGCGGAACUAAUGGUGGAGCGGUGAAAUGCGUUGAUAUCAUUAGGAACACCGGUGGCGAAAGCGGCUCACUGGGUCUCUUCUGACGCUGAGGCACGAAAGCUAGGGGAGCGAAC